rnacentral:rRNA from 1 species
UUUUUUUAUGGAGAGUUUGAUCCUGGCUCAGGACGAACGCUGGCGGCGUGCCUAAUACAUGCAAGUCGAGCGGACCG